CUAGACCGAGAGGUCCGGGUAAACCCGCUGAACCACUUUCAUGCUUGGGAUUGUGAAACUGAAACUGUUCACAUGAACUUGGAAUUCCCAGUAAGUGUGAGUCAUUAACUCGCAUUGAUUACGUCCCUGCCCUUUGUGCACACCGCCCGUCGCUACUACCGAUUGAAUUAUUUAGUGAGGUCUCCGGACGUGAUCACUGUGACGCCUUGUGUGUUGCGGUUGUUUCGCAAAAGUUGACCGAACUUGAUUAUUUAGAGGAAGUAAAAGUCGUAACAAGGUUUCCGUAGGUGAACCUGCG